AGCGAACGCUGGCGGUAGGCCUAACACAUGCAAGUCGAACGAACCCUCCGUGGUUAGUGGCGGACGGGUGAGUAACACGUCGGAACGUGCCUUUAGGCUCCGGAUAUCUCAGGUUCACUUGUGCUAAUACCGGAUGUGUUCCGCGGGGGCAAGAUAUGUCCUCCUUAGGGCGGCCGGCGUUCGUUUAGCCAGUUGGUUGAGGUAAUGGCUCACCAAGGCGACGAUCAUUAGCUGGUCUGAGAGGAUGAUCAGCCACAUUGGGACUGGGACACGGCCCAAACUCCUACGGGAGGCAGCAGUGGGGAAUCUUGCGAAAUGGGCGAAAGCCUGACGCAGCCAUGCCGCGUGAAUGAUGAAGGUCUUAGGAUUGUGAAAUUCUUUCACCGGGGACGAUAAUGACGGUACCCGGAGAAGAAGCCCCGGCUAACUUCGUG
rnacentral:rRNA from 1 species